GCGGCUUAAUAAGUCAGUGGUGAAAGCCCUACGCUUAACGUAGGAACGGCCAUUGAUACUGUUAGGCUUGAAUUAUUAGGAAGUAACUAGAAUAUGUAGUGUAGCGGUGAAAUGCUUAGAGAUUACAUGGAAUACCAAUUGCGAAGGCAGGUUACUACUAAUGGAUUGACGCUGAUGGACGAAAGCGUGGGUAGCGAACAGGAUUAGAUACCCUGGUAGUCCACGCCGUAAACGAUGGAUACUAGCUGUUGGAAGCAAUUUCAGUGGCUAAGCGAAAGUGAUAAGUAUCCCACCUGGGGAGUACGAACGCAAGUUUGAAACUCAAAGGAAUUGACGGGGGCCCGCACAAGCGGUGGAGCAUGUGGUUUAAUUCGAUGAUACGCGAGGAACCUUACCAAGGCUUAAAUGUAGUUUGACCGAUUUGGAAACAGAUCUUUCGCAAGACAAAUUACAAGGUGCUGCAUGGUUGUCGUCAGCUCGUGCCGUGAGGUGUCAGGUUAAGUCCUAUAACGAGCGCAACCCCUGUUGUUAGUUGCCAGCGAGUCAAGUCGGGAACUCUAACAAGACUGCCAGUGCAAACUGUGAGGAAGGUGGGGAUGACGUCAAAUCAUCACGGCCCUUACGCCUUGGGCUACACACGUGCUACAAUGGACGGUACAGAGAGCAGCCACUACGCGAGUAGGA
rnacentral:rRNA from 1 species